GACGUAGGGCGCGAGCGUUGUCCGGAUUUAUUGGGCGUAAAGAGCUCGUAGGCGGCUUGUCGCGUCGUCCGUGAAAACCCACAGCUCAACUGUGGGCUUGCGGUCGAUACGGGCAGGCUAGAGUUCGGUAGGGGAGACUGGAAUUCCUGGUGUAGCGGUGAAAUGCGUAGAUAUCGUAAGGAAGACCAGUGGCGAAGGCGGGUCGUCUGGGACGGUACUGACGCUGAGACGCGAAAGCGUGGGGAGCGAACAGG
rnacentral:rRNA from 1 species